GGGAAAAAGAUUAAAAUAAAAUAAAUAAUUAUAAAUAUGAAGGAAAUUUUUUGUGGUCCUUAGUUUGAGGUAAGAUACAUGUGGACAACAGGUCAUUUCGUGCUAUAAAGGUUAUCAGAAUAUCUUGUAGGUUUUAAUUUUGUUUGUACAUUGGAAAUCUAUGCGGAGAAUCUGAUGUAGAGCUGCUACAUCCCUCAUUCACACAGGUAUAGUCCUCGAUUUAUGACCAUAAUUGAGCUUGGCAAUUAAGAUUAUAAGUUGUGCUAGUCAUAGAAAAGGUCAUCACAUGACCAACCCAAUUUCAUUUUUGCAAUGUUCAUUAAGUGAAACGCUGAGGUUGUUAAAUGAACACUGUGGGUUGAUAAGCAAAUGUGGCAGUUGUUAAGCAAGCCAAAUGUUUGCUAUGGGCCAGUUUUUAUUGUAAGUAAGCACCAGUUUCUGGCAAAAUCAUCACAUAACUAUGGGGUGCUUCAAACAGCUGUAAAUGCAGACCAGGUACUGAGCGUCCAAAAUGUGUUCAUGUGGCGGAGGGAUGGACCUUAGAAGUGGAUCGUAAGUAGCUUUUGGAUCAGUCAUAACUUCAAAUGGUUGCUAAGCAACUGAUCAUAAGACAAGGACUACUUAUAUGUAUAUUUGAACAUUUUAUUUAAGAUUUGGGUUAUGGUUAUUGCAAGAGAGAGUGAGAGAAAUCUUCAUCUUGAGGAUAAUGACAGAAUAAAACCUACCAUAAUAAAAAUGGUACUGUGCAUCCCAUGCCACCUUCAGUGGCAAAAUAUAAAAGUAGGAUAUAAAAAAUAGUCAAAAAUAUGGUUAUAAUAAUCUAACUAGAAUAAAACCAAAGCCCUAUUCUGACCCUCAGAGUAGCUGGAAUGCUUUGUAGCUAUGUGCAAUUCAAAUGUUUGCCAAAUGGAUUUUUUCAUUCUUUUUAUUUUUACUAUUAUACUUUGGUAAUUUUAUAAGGGAGAAAAAAGCAAAAAAAUGAAAAAAGAGUCAUAAACUGAAGAGAGAAGGUCCCUGAAUUUACUGCCCUGCUAUCACCACUCCACUCCACUGAGUCCUCCCAGUGUGCACUGGGUUGAUGAUGUCAUUAACAGCACAGACCGGCACUGGAGCGGGGAAUCUCCCUAUGAGGAAAAGGAAGGUGGCCACUACUGAGUUAAAUUCAUAGUAGUCUUCCUCUAAGGUAGCAAUAGCACUUAGGACUUAUAUACCACUUCAUAGUGCUUUACAGCCCGAUUUACAGAAUCAGCUUAGU